AAUAUUGGACAAUGGGCGAGAGCCUGAUACAGCCAUGCCGCGUGUGUGAAGAAGGUCCNCGGAGUNUNAAGCACGUUAAGUCGGGNAGAAGGGGUUGAAGCUAAUGCCUUCAACCUUUGACGUUACCAACAGAAUAAGCACCGGCUAACUCUGUGCCAGCAGCCGCGGUAAUACAGAGGGUGCAAGCGUUAAUCGGAAUUACUGGGCGUAAAGGGCGCGUAGGUGGUUCAGUAAGAUGGAAGUGAAAUCACCGGGCUUAACCUGGGAACUGCUUUCAUAACUGCUGAGCUAGAGUACGGUAGAGGGUAGUGGAAUGUCCUGUGUAGCGGUGAAAUGCGUAGAUAUAGGAAGGAACAUCAGUGGCGAAGGCGACUACCUGGACUGAUACUGACACUGAGGUGCGAAAGCGUGGGGAGCAAACAGG
rnacentral:rRNA from 1 species